UUGAAUGAGAACAGAGAGAAAGUCACAGUCUGUGAAAGGAAACUGUCGCACUGUCCUCAUCUCUAGCACCACUCCUGAGAAAAGUUCAGCCCUGUUUUGAGAACUUUCUUACCUCUGGAGGGCAUCUGUGUGGUAGGAAGUCCUGAAAGUGGACUGAAACGAUGGAGGCAUCAGUGCUGAGCCCCACAUCCUGGGCAAAACGGAGGGCCUGGCUACGGCAGAGUCGUAACUGGCAAACUCAGGUCCUGGAAGAGGAAGCAGCAGCUGCCCUGCAAGAUGCACUGGAUCCUGAGCCUUCCAGCCUGGAUGAUGUUUUCCAGGAAGGGAAUCCAGUCAAUAAGAUUGAGGACUGGCUGCAGGGCUGUGGUUGUAGAGACACUGAAGAGGGACUUUCUGAAGAAAUAGGGCAAUCUAACUACAGUGGGUACUCUAGCCAUGGGGCAAGCUUUGAGGAUGACUUGAGUCUUGGAGCAGAGGCCACAUUACUGUCCACCAGUGGAAACCUCUUCUCUAGGAAUUUCCUCCAGACAUCCAGACUAUGCCAGUUACUUGAUCUUGGCUCUAGUUUGGCUUCCAGCAGCAUGACUGGUGGGACCAACAAAACCAGUUCAACCGUCUCAGAGAUUUUGGACCAGGUACAAGAAGAUGCAGAAGAUAUUCUUUUCAGCCUGGGCUUCGGCCAUGAGGACCACAAAGACACAUCUCGUAUCCCUGCAAGAUUUUUCAGCAACCCUUCUCAGGCCAAGGGCAUUGACUUUCAGCUCUUCCUGAAGUCUCAGGUGCAAAGGAUGGAGAUGGAGGAUCCCUGCCUGAUGCUGGCCAGCCGGUUUAAGCAGGUGCAGACGCUGGCUGUCACUGCUGAUGCUUUCUUCUGUCUCUACUCCUAUGUGUCUAAGACACCUGUCCAAAAGUUCACACCAUCCAACAUGUUCUGGAAUUUCGACCCAACUGAUGUGCCAUCCAUCAGGAUUCUGGCUCCAGAGUCUGAACCCUACUCACCCAAAGAACGUCUCCGGAAAGCAAUCUCUAAAAUGUGCCUAUAUACAGGUUCCCGAGAUCGACUGACAUCAUCUUACAACCCGAAAAAGAACAGUUUGGAUCAAAUUGUGUGGGAAGUGAUGGACAGAGUGAAAGGAGAGAAGAUAGGUCUCGAGCAAGACCCUGGGUCUGUGCCCCCAAUACAAAAUACAAAUCUACCUACUUCUUCCCUUCCAUGUGUUUUCUGCCCUAAAGAAGAAACACAGCGAGACAUGUGCCAUGUUCAUGCUCUAGCAAGAGCAGGUCCACAGUACCACACAGACUCUACACAGGUAAGGAGACAGCUGUGGGUUCUACAGGACAUUAAUGAGAAGUCAUAUUCAGCUGAGAAUGAGAGUCCAUGGGAAAGAAAAAGCAAAGCAAGAAAGAACCUAUUUCAAAUUCAGCAGCUUCAGAAUGCUUCUGAUUUGGAGCAGGACCAGCCUCAGCAUGGAGAGAGGUUCUGAGAGAAAGGGUGACUGGGAGUGGAGAAGACAAACGACUUGAAGUCAAAUCAUGGAUCAAAGCAAACAACUUGGGUUCUGCUUGAUACAGCUUUUCCAGUCUACUUCUCUCUAUGUUCUGCUUUCUCUCUGGAGAUUUCUGUCUACAUUCUGCUUGCUUGCUAUUCUAAGAGAUCUCCCUGUCCAUGUUCUGCUUACUUUCCUUAGCUAUCUCUAUGUCCGUGUCCUACUUGAUUAUGUGUGUGUGUGUCCAUCUAUCUAUCCAUCUGUCUGUCUGUCCAUCCAUCUGUCUGUCUGUCUGUAUAAAUACAGUGGGAUAGGAAGGUUUUGGGUGCCCCUUUUUCAUUAAUUAUUUAUUCCCUUUACAUACUGAUCAUAGCCCCCCUUCUUCCCAGUCCUACUCUCACAAACCCUUCCCCCUAUUGCCCCCUCCUUCUCCUCAGAGGAGAGGAAGCCCCUCUUGGUUACCACCUACCUUGGCAAGCUGAAGCAGGACUAGGUACUCUCUCACUGAGACCCGGCAAGGCAAACCAGCUAGGGGAGGGGAUCUAAUGGCAGGAGGCAGAGUCAAAGACAGGCCCCACUCCAAUUGUCAGGGGAUCUACAUGAAGCUGUGUACCUGCUAAAAAUGUGUCAGGGGCCUGCAUGCUCUUUGGUUGAUAGUUCAGUCUCUGUGAGCCCUCAUGGGCCCAGGUUAGUUGACUGUGUAGGUCUUCUUGUGAUGUCCUUGCGUAUCUUUUUAAUCAAUCCAUCACAGUUAAAAAUCCUUUAUUCUUCAUAUCUUUUUUCUUAAGAUUUAUUUAUUUUGCUGGGUGGUGGUGGCGCACACUUUUAAUCCCAGCACUUGGGAGGCAGAGGCAGGUGGAUUUCUGAGUUCAAGGCCAGCCUGGUCUACAGAGUGAGUUCCAGAACAGCUAAGGCUAUACAGAGAAACCUGGUCUGGGGAAAAAAAAAAAAAAGAUUUGUUUAUUUUAUAUAUGUGAGUACACUGUCAUUGUCUUUAGAUACACCAGAAGAGGGCAUCAGAUCCCUUACAGAUGUUUAUGAGCCACCAUGUGGUUGCUAAGAAAUUAAACUCAGGAUCUCUGGAAGAACAGUCAGUGCUCUUAACCAUUGAGUCAUCUCUCCAGUCCUAUUCUUCAUAUCUCAAAUAUUUACCAAGAGUAAAUUCUCAUUCAAAGGCUAGUCCAGCCCACUCAUAUCAUACAGAAAUUUGAAAGGAAGUUAAUUCCUAGAUUCAUUAAAUUAAAACAGAAAAUAUGUGAAGUAUAUUGCAGAUCCUUAUGUAUUUUAUGUAAGUAUAUAAGUAUAUUGCAGUUGCCUUGAGCAUCUGCUUCUAUCCUAUUUCUCCACUAGAUGCCUCACACAAGAAAAUAUCAAGAUGUCCCAUCAAUAUCAAUUCCCUUCAUAAACCUGAAGUCUGGGAUUUUGUCACUAGCAUCACCUGUAAAAAAAUAAUAAUAAAUAAAUAAAAGAUCAAAAAAGGAAGAAAAAAGAUAAAAAACCCUGAAGUCAUUCAGAGUAAAUUUCAGAAUUCAAAAAUAUCAGAAUUGUCUGGCAAAGAAAUGUAUUUUAACUAUGUGAAGAGAUCAUACUUUCUGUCAACAUAGCAGAAGAGAUGGUUAGACAUUCUGUAUUACUUUCUACAUCCUACACAUAUUUUCGAAACUAUAACAUACCUAUAAUUAGGAUACAUCGUAUAAUUUAUAUCAUUGGCCAAACUUUCUUUUUAUUUAAUAUGUUUUCAUAUGCAAUAUCAAUAAUUAUGAAUCUUAUAAGAGAUAACCAAAUACAAUACAUGCAGUAACAUUAGGGAGGAAUGUGCUUACAAUCUCAAGAAAAUAAAAACAAACUAUUUUAAAUAUUUCUCUCUUAUGAUUACACGAGAGAAUAAAAACAUCUUCUAUAACACUCUUUGUUUCAGGCUGUUUUUCCAAAGUAUUUCCCAUGUCUUUUUUUCCUUUCUUUUACUGAAAAUGAUCAUUUUUUUAAUGCAUCAUAUCUCAAUUUUGGUUUCCCCUCCUGUUCCCCCAGUUCUUUGCCUCCCUUCCCACCUAGAUCCACACCCUUUCUAUCUAUCAAAAUAUAAGCAGGCAUGCAGUAGACAAAACAAACAGGAGAAAAGAGCCCAAGAAAAGCUACAAAUCCAGAUAUAGCCACAAAGACCCAUUUUUGCUCACACUCAGUAAUCCUUUAAAAACACAAAACCAGAAACUGUUGUUUUGGAGGAUUUGGUUUGGUUUGGUUUUGGUUGGGUUGGGUUUUGGUUUUGGUUUUCUGUUAGUCAUCUACUGCUAGGCAACUGGCCUACCCUUAAGAGUAGUUUGUUUCCCUAGCAAGAUGUUUUCAAAAGAAACAUAAAUUACUGCUCUGGGCCUAUGUCUAUUAUUCUUUAAGAGAUUACAAAGUGAUAAAAUCUGCUCAGUGCAGCAAAGAUUGAGACCUAUAUGCUAAGUGUGGAGGGGAAUAGACUGAGAUAUAUUGAGUAAACCUCCCCAUCUCAGGGCAUAAGGAUAAGUAAGAUAUGCUAGCAAAAUUCAACCAGUCACUCAUGUUCAGCUGAAGAAUCUUCAUUGUCCAGAGACAUCCAACUUCCAAGGGUAACAGGGCUUAGAACCCACCCUCCAUGCCAACCUUUUCCACAAAAAUGUACUUCUUAUUUUUUAAAUUCUCUCUCUCUCUCUCUCUCUCUCUCUCUCUCUCUCUCUCUCUCUCUCUCUCCUCUCUCUCUCUCUCUCUGUUUCUUUCCCAUUUCCUUUUACAAAUAAUUCAUCUGUAUAAGGCAAAUGUUGAUUUAACAUUAGCAUAUAUGCAUCUUGCUAAAAGAGGACCUGCUCCUUCCUUGCUAUUACUGGCAGAAGGGUUUUUUCCCUCCCAUUUUUUCUUUUAAUCUAUGCCAAGGAAGUUCAUGGGUAUUAAUGGCCCCUGUCCCUCUCCAUAAUUUACACUAUGCUUAAAGAUCUCAAAUCCACCACCAUCCCACUGAAAUGUAAAGUACUCUCAGAGGUAAAAUGUAAAGUUUCCCACAUUAGUAAAAGGCAGAGCCAAGGAAGAGGGUCAAUGUGUGAUGUGCUGUUGUCUCAGUUAGCACCCUGUGCCUUUGCUAGACGGAGUGUAAGGAAGUACAAUCUUGAUUAUGUCCUCAAAUCAUAGAUACUUCAAAGUAUGUUUUUGUGUUUGGUGGAACUUGAAUGAUCUGGAAAGCUACAGUGUUUAUUUUCAAUUUAUCAUUUUGUCAUAUAAUAUAACAAUAAUAAACAUAUGUAGUGAUUAUUCUAUGUCAUAUACUAACCUUAACCCCAACUCUCUAGCACCCUAACCCUCUAACCCUCUAACCCUAACCCUAACCCUAACCCUAACCCAGGCUCCACCUAGUGUUUGGGCAUGCUCCCAUCAGCUGAUAGAGGAAGCCUCCUUGAUGAUGACUGAGCUAGGCACCCAUCUAUAAGUAUAGCAGAAUAUCAUUAGGAAUCAUUUCACUGAUUUUUGUUUUAGGUCAGUUGUGUUUGGUUCUUUGAGCUUUCCAGGCAAUGUUCAAAAUGGGCUCCUUCUCUUGGCUUGUGCCUCAAGUUAGACCAGUCAUUGACUGGACAAUCCCACAAGCUCUGAGCUGCAGAGAGAAUCUCUUCUAGGCUUCAUGGAAGCGUCACCUGUCAAUUUUAAAACGCUUAUGGCCAAUGAACUAAGUCAGGAAAUGGGAGGUGGAGCAUCCAGCAGAGAAAGAGAGAGGAUUCUGGGAAAGAGGCACAGGAGAUUUGCCUUGGACUCUAGAGGAGACAGUCACAUAAACCUCAGGAGAGGUAACUAAACAUGUGGAAAACAUAGAAUACUUUAAAUGAGUUAUACAAGUAAGACAGCUCAGUAGAAAAUGUCUGUUGCAAAGUUGGCAAUCUGACCUUGAUUAUCAUGUAAAGAUGGCCAAAGUAGAUCCAACAAAAUUUCUUCUAGUUCCCAUAUAUAUGUCAUAGCUUAAAACCUUAUAAUCACAUCACAUCACACACACACACACACACACACACACACACACACACACACACACACACACACACACCAGAAAUGUUUUUUUUAAAGAACUCUCAUGGAACAUCAAAUAAUAUAUGCAUAUCCACAUCAACCAAGCUGUGAUAUACAGUUGAUUGCUGAUUUCCCUACUUCUUUAUAUCUCUACCAGGAAUUAAAAUGCUACUUUGGUACACACAUGAGGUAUUUGAUGUUUCUUAUAUGUUCUUCUAUUAACAUUGCUGAAAUGUGUUGACAAAACAGGACACAUUGGGGUUACACCUUCUAUACUUGGACUCAUACUCAGGAGGAGGACACAUGAGUUAAAAUGUAGCCUUGGCUAAUGAUUGACAUCCAAGCCAGGCUGGGUAACAAACAACAUCUGAAGGAAAUUUAUGAAAAUAUGAAAAACAAAACCAGAAACCACCCACCACCCUUUUACGGGCACCCUUACUUGAAAAGUAUGAUCACACACUGCCUUAUAUUUAAAUAAACAAUGGGCCACUUAGAUGAUAGGCAUUCCAUCCUAUACAUUGUAUCAGAAAAAUACCUAUCACCAAGUGAAAGUGCAAUAUAAGAUAAACAUAAGUCAUAGAAGAAAUAUACUAAUAAACUUCUUUAAAUGGAUAUGCCAUAAACACAGCAAACAUCAAUACCUACUCCAAAUGAUUCAACAUACAAACUAAAACCACAAUUGAGUGAACAUGGCAAAUAAUUUACUUCCUUUAAGGCUAUGAUGAAAAAGAGAUAAAACAGUAUUUUUUUUUUCCUUGAAACUGAAGACAACUAUGUUUAAAGUCUUUAGCAAAUCAUUUGUACAAACAUGUGUUUUUUCCUACUUCCUGACAUCAAGAUGAUAUAUAAAGGCUUUAAAAUAUUUACAGAGCAAGAGACAUGGCUGGGCAGUUUAGACAAUUUCAUUCUCAGGAUCAAGGUCAGGUGUUUUUUGUUUUUGGGUUUUUUUUUUUUUUUACAACUUCCUGUAUAAUUCCUGCUACAAAAAGAUCUACGGAUCUAAUAUUCUUGGGAACCAGCAUGCAUGUGCAUAUACACACACACAAAAAAAAAACCCACACUGGCCUCACAUAAUUAAAGUGAAAAAAGUUAAACAAGUGAAUUUUUACUCAUGAAUGUUUUUCUUGUGUAAGCAUUCAUUCCUAUAACCCAGAUAUUGAGGCGCCUAAAGGCUUAUCUACAGAGUUUUUCUUCAUCAAAAAUUGGCUCAUGUAACAGAAAGCCAACACAUAGGCUUGAAGUCAGAAAAAUAACCCUUCUAAGUUGGUGGUAUCAUUUGAGAAGAGUUCAGAAGUGCUGUCCUGCUGGAGGAAGUAUGUUACUUAGAGUGGGCUUCAGAAUGUGCACCAACACACCAUGUCCAGUUCCCAAUCUCUGCUUCAUGUUAUUCAGCUUCAUGUUUUUGGCCCUAAUCGAUCAGUUGCGGCUUGAUACAAUAAAUUCUUGUCAUUUGCACUGAUCUGUGUUUCAGGUGUAUUUGAUCUCAACCGAUCCUAUAACUCAAAGGAUUUACUGCAUUGAUACCUUUAUAGAAUUUCUCUCCAGGAUAAAUUCUUUCAUGAUGAUGAAGACUAUAGAAGUGUGCAAAGUCUUCACCAUGUUAAAUGCACUCACAGGGUUCUUUCCACUAUGAUUUCUUUUCAUGACUUUAAUGAUGACUGUAAUAUGCAAAGGCCUUACCACAUUGCUUAUAUUCAUAGGUUUUCUCUCCAGUAUGUGUUUUUUCAUGCCUUUGAGAAUGAAUCUGAUAUGCAAAGACUUUACCACAUUGAGUAUAUUCAGAAGGUUUCUCUACAGUAUUUCUUUCAUGCCUGCAAAGGUAAUUGGCACAUGUGAAAGCUUUACCACAUUUGUUACACUGAUGAAUCUACAUGUAUAAGUUAAUUUUUUAAUUUGAUCUAAUGAUAUAAAGGUAUCAGAUCUUAAAGGUUUAUCAUUUUUAUGCAUUCAUGGUGUUCUCCUUCAUUAUGGGCUAUUUGCAUCUUUGAAGAAACCUAUAAUGAUAAGAGCAUUUAUUACAUGUUUCACAAUUAUAACAUUCUUUUUCUAUAUGAAGCUUUUCACAUGUUUGAAGAGAACUGGAAUAACUCAGAGCUUUACAACACUGAUGGCAUUCAUAAUUUUUCAUAUGAGUCAUACCACAUUUGCAAAGUAAAUCACGAAAAACAGAAGAAUUUCCACAUUCCUUGUAUUCGUGGGGAUUUUCUGCAAUGUCUAAGAAUUCCUGAAUUAAGCAGGUGACCUGCCCAGCUGCCUGAGCAGUGGAGCCAAGAACCGCCAGUUGACUUCCCUGGAGCUCCCAGAGUCUGGGAGGAGGAGCUUGCCCAAACUGUUAAAUGGUGUGACCUCCAUUAAAGUUUCGACUUCAAUCAGUAAA